GACCAACGCAGGUACAAGCUACAGAAGACCAACGUAGGUACAAGCUACAGAAGACCAACGCAGGUACAAGCUACAGAAGACCAACACAGGUACAAGCUACAGAAGACCAACGCAGGUACAAGCUACAGAAGACCAACGUAGGUACAAGCUACAGAAGACCAACGCAGGUACAAGCUACAGAAGACCAACGCAGGUACAAGCUACAGAAGACCAACGCAGGUACAAGCCACAGAAGACCAACACAGGUACAAGCUACAGAAGACCAACGUAGGUACAAGCUACAGAAGACCAACGCAGGUACAAGCUACAGAAGACCAACGCAGGUACAAGCUACAGAAGACCAACGCAGGUA